UAAGUAGAUCAGGUAAUCGCGGAAGAAAUACUAUUUCUUUCGAGGAAAGUCCGAGCUCCACAGGGCAGAGUGCUGGGUAACCCCCAGUGAGGGUAACCUUAAGGAAAGUGCUACAGAAAAUACACAGCUGGGCACUCAAUUUUGCGUACUCAGUAAAGGUGAAAAGGCAGGGUAAGAGCCUACCAGUUGUUAGGUGACUAAUAAGCUUAGUAAACCCCACUCGGAGCAAGACCAAAUAGGAAGAGCUGUGGUGGCCCGCUGAAUCUUCGGGUAGGUCGCUAGAGGUGUAAGGUAACUUACAUCCCAGAUAGAUGAUUACCACCCUUAUUAUUGAUUCGGUAAUUAGUUGAUUGGUUAAUAAACUAUAAGUAAUAAACUAGUUAGCCAGACAAAUAAUUAACUAAUUUGAAUUUUGUAUUUUGAACUAACGACUAUUCACUAACGACUAAUUUAUAAGGGGACAGAACUCGGCUUAUACGAUCUACUUAUCAA
rfam:Candidatus Atribacteria bacterium RBG_16_35_8 RBG_16_scaffold_41265, whole genome shotgun sequence.